CAAGUGCGUCGCAGUUUUAUUAAUCUGCGACGCAAAUGACUCUGAGAACAUCUUAGAGUCAUUUGCCUCGCAGUUUAAUAAAGCUGCGACGCACAGGUGUUUGUGAAUUUAAUUUUUUCUCAAAUUCGCGCUCACCUUUUAAUUGUUUUCUUCAAUAUUCUGACUUGCUCCAAAUGACCUAAAUCUAUCGAAACCAGUUAAGCCCAAAACAUCCGUUCUCACCGGCUUCACCCUUCCGUUUACCAGCUUCACUGCCGUCGUCUUCCCUCCUUCUGCGUCGUUCUCUCCUUCCCCUGCGCCGUUCAACUUGUUGUUCGUUCUCCUCUUCAACCUGCUGCUCGUUCUCUUCUUCCCCUGCGUCGUUCAACUCAAACUAAUCAGUGUCGCUGCUCCGUGUUAACGCCGCCUUCCACGGCAGCCGCCCACGCCGCCGCCCACUCCUCCGCUCCUGGUCACUGUCUUCUCUCCUCUCCUAGACAGGGCACUGACGUGUCUCUGAAGGAUCUUGACUACCUUUUGUCUCUACUUGAGGAAAAGAAGAGAAAGAUGGCCGGAGCAAGAAGAAGCUAGGGUUUGAAGCCAGUAAACUCGCUAAGAAUACAAGGAAAUGGUUAAGAUUGAAGCCAGUAAACUCGCUAAGAAGCAUCCACGUGUCUUGCAGAUGGAAUGAGCUACUAGGACGGUGGUUGACUGGUACUUUCAUUCCGGCAGAAAUAUUAAAAGUACAAGAGGUUGUGUCAAUGAGAUCAAUCAGUAUAUUUCGCAACAUAAUCAGCUUUUGUUGGAUCACAUAACUGACCUUUGGAGCUCUCUGAUGCCCAGUUUGUGUUCUGUGAUGUUUACCAAGGCUUCAUGCGUAUCUUGUCCAACCCUAAACACUAUGGCAUCAAGGAAACAAGAGGAGCAUGUUGUGGAAUAGGGUGGCAUGGAGCAGCAUCGGGGUGCGACACCAUGGAGAUGGUUUGCAACCAAAGUACAGCUCAUGUAAUCCUUCUAAGGCCGUCAAUUAUCUGCUGGCCGACUCUGCCUGGUUCGGUCAUCCAUUGGGUGACAUCUUUCAUCCCUUGAGCGUCCGAGCACUGGUGAACAUAGCUUCAGCAGCAGCAGCAGCAGCAGCAGCAGGUGUUCUGGCAACAACAGUUAUCGAUUACAAGCUAGAAGCAGCAGCAGCAGUUCUGGCAGAAGUAGAAAGCAGCAAUUUUGGCAGCAGCCAGUUGAAACAAGAACAAAACCAAGCCAGCCUAAAGAGUGUUUAUUUUCACCAGUUGCUGGACUUUCUUGAAGUUCUCUGCCUUAACUGUGACUAUCACCGUUGGUAAUGCAUCCCAUCUUUGUAUUGAAAGUCAUAUCUUGAUUUGUCAUAGAUUUGAUUUCUAACAUCUUCCAUUUUUAUAUCCGGGAUAGAGAUAUUUACUUAAACUUUUAUGUUUAAAGUGUAGUUAGGUUAUCAACAUGUUGGUUGAUCUAUGGUGAAUUUGCCUUUUAUUGGGUUGUAAACUGUUUUGACAGGUAUAUAUUAAUGUAUUAUAACAUUCCCGGUAUUGGGGAGGGUCAAAUUACAAAGGAAAUAUUGUCAAAAUUUUCACCUAGUUUACUUUUAUUUUUAUGCUCUGAAUAUACUAGUACUGAAAGCUGCUUAUUUUAUUUAAUCUAUGGAUUAAAUAAAAUCAGCAGCUCAUUUUUUUUAGAAUAUCCAAAAGUCAUUUGCGUCGCACUUUAGCUAAUCUGCGACGCAAAUGACAUUUUUUUUAACAUAUUGAAAAGUCAUUUGCG